GAGACUUCUGGACACGAUCCAAGGCCCUUGACGAAAUCAGCCUGGUUGUUGUCUUCUUCGUCAGCCUUUCGUUCCAGAUGAAGAACGCCUUUGAAACCACUUCUAAAAAAUCCAAGAUCUGGUACCCAAUUAGAUCAGAUCUGGACCGAGGUUUUUCAAUUUGUAGAUCUCAAAUCAGGAUAUUCUAGAUAGAGAAGAAGAUAGAUGGAGAUAGACCUCGCAGAUCUGUCCUGCUACAGC
rnacentral:lncRNA from 1 species